rnacentral:rRNA from 1 species
UCCGUAGGUGAACCUGCGGAAGGAUCAUUACCGAGUUGAUUCGGGCUCCGGCCCGAUCCUCCCACCCUUUGUGUACCUACCUCUGUUGCUUUGGCGGGCCGCGGUUCUCCGCGGCCGCCCCCCUCCCCGGGGGGUGGCCAGCGCCCGCCAGAGGACCAUCAAACUCCAGUCAGUAAACGAUGCAGCCUGAAAAACAUUUAAUAAACUAAAACUUUCAACAACGGAUCUCUUGGUUCUGGCAUCGAUGAAGAACGCAGCGAAAUGCGAUAAGUAAUGUGAAUUGCAGAAUUCAGUGAAUCAUCGAAUCUUUGAACGCACAUUGCGCCCUUUGGUAUUCCGAAGGGCAUGCCUGUUCGAGCGUCAUUACAACCCUCAAGCUCUGCUUGGUAUUGGGCACCGUCCUUUGCGGGCGCGCCUCAAAGACCUCGGCGGUGGCGUCUUGCCUCAAGCGUAGUAGAACAUACAUCUCGCUUCGGAGCGCAGGGCGUCGCCCGCCGGACGAACCUUCUGAACUUUUCUCAAGGUUGACCUCGGAUCAGGUAGGGAUACCCGCUGAACUUAAGCAUAUCAAUAAGCGGAGGA